rnacentral:rRNA from 1 species
UCGAUUGUUAAAAAGCUCGUAGUUGAACCUUGGGCCUGGCUGGCGGGUCCGCCUCACCGCGUGCACUCGUCCGGCCGGGCCUUCCUUCUGAAGAACCUCAUGCCCUUCACUGGGCGUGCUGGGGAAUCAGGACUUUUACUUUGAAAAAAUUAGAGUGUUCAAAGCAGGCCUUUGCUCGAAUACGUUAGCAUGGAAUAAUAAAAUAGGGCGUGCGUUUCUAUUUUGUUGGUUUCUAGAGACGCCGCAAUGAUUAACAGGAACAGUCGGGGGCAUCAGUAUUCCGUUGUCAGAGGUGAAAUUCUUGGAUUUACGGAAGACUAACUACUGCGAAAGCAUUUGCCAAGGAUGUUUUCAUUAAUCAGUGAACGAAAGUUAGGGGAUCGAAGACGAUCAGAUACCGUCGUAGUCUUAACCGUAAACUAUGCCGACUAGGGAUCGGGCGAUGUUCUUUUUCUGACUCGCUCGGCACCUUACGAGAAAUCAAAGUUUUUGGGUUCUGGGGGGAUUAUGGUCGCAAGGCUGAAACUUAAAGAAAUUGACGGAAGGUCAC